rnacentral:rRNA from 1 species
UACGGGGGGGCAAGGCGUUGUUCGGAAUUACUGGGCGUAAAGGGCUCGUAGGCGGCCAACUAAGUCGGACGUGAAAUCCCCAGGCUCGAACCUGGGAACUGCGUCCGAUAACUGGGAUGGCUUGAAUUCGGGAGAGGGAUGCAGAAUUCCAGGUGUAGCGGUGAAAUGCGUAGAUAUCUGGAGGAAUACCGGUGGCGAAGGCGGCAUCCUGGACCGACAUUGACGCUGAUGGAGCGAAAAGCUAGGGGAGCAAACGGG